CUCAGGAGUAGGUUUUUGAUAAAAGAGUAAGUUCAGCCCCCUUCCUCUCUGUUUCUCCUUUGAGUGUUCUCUUGCCAUUCCACCUUCUGCCAUGAAAUAAUACAACAAGAAGGCCCUCAUCAGAUGCCAAACAGAUGAUGGUGCCAUGCUCUUGAACAUCCCAGCCUCCAGAAUUAUUCAUCCUCUACUGAUUCCAGGAUUAGGACAUCAUCAUAACAUAGCAGGAAAUUCACAAUCCUAGAGAUGGGGGUAUGGUGAGAUGCAAGAGCAUUAGAGGACUAUGGAAAUUAUGGGAGCAUGACAUUCUGAAAUUGCACGACUAAGGAAUUGGAAAUAUUUCUCAGGACAUGAUGAUUAUCUGGACACUGGCAAUGAAUCUUGAUCAUUCACCUCGGUGGCUGAGCACCUGUGAACAAGGCCCAGCUCACUGAUGAAGUUUCCCGUGGGCCAACUAGCUUCAAAGACGCGAAUACCGUCUGCACCGUGACGGCAGAUGACACUCCUAAUUCUAAGCAACCAGCUCACAAAGAGACAAGGCUUCAUGUUUGAGACCAAAGUCCUGACCUCAGGUGAUCCGCCCCCCUCGGCCUCCCCAAGUGCUGGGAUUACAAGCGUGAGCAACCGUGUCCGGUGAUGUCUGCAACUUUACUUUGAAAUGUAUCAAAAAAGAAAAAAGAUGGACAGCUGAAUGGGAAAAUGGAUGGAUAAACAGAAUAGAUACCUGAUAAAGCAGAUACAGUAAAUGUUAAUCAUAGAAUCUAAGUGGAGGGUAUACAGAUAUUUGCUGUAAAACCUUCCCCUUUUUCCAUAUGUUGAAAUUUUGUUCACAAUAAAAUGCUGAUAAAAGUUAAAAGAUGCAUCACAACUUGGAAUUUGCUUCCUCAAAAAGGUGUGGAAGUAAAUCACAAUAUUUGUAGAAAUCAACAUGAAGGAAGACAGGAAUUCAUUGUGGAAUUGUAAACAGAAAGCACUUAGGUAAGAGUUUAGUAAAACAUGUUUGCUGCCCAGUAGGAAAAAGCAGCAUGUACUAUAGUUGAACCUUAGAGAAUCAUGG
rnacentral:lncRNA from 10 species